GUGGGGUUCGUGUUGUUUAUUCUUUAGUUUUCUAUGUUGUCUCGUAUGUACUAUAAUUGUUUGUCUGUUAGUCCUUUUCAGUUUUAGCCAUGGUGUUGUCAGUUUAUUUUCGAUUUAUGAGGUUGACUGUUCCUCUGGUUUCUUUCGUCCCUCUCUCUACUCCCAAGUGUAAGCUGUGUUGCGGUCAAUGGCGAAAAAAUUCGGUCGCUCGACAUUAGCCUUUAGUGUGGUAAUGGGAUCUCAAAUGUCAACUGAGAUGCAUGUCUGGUGUAUAUAAGUGACCGUACUUCUGUCUCUUUUUACAACCAUGUAAUAUCAAGUAUACUCAUAAUAAACAAUAGUUAAUGAUAAGGAUGAUUUGUGCGUUACCUAAACCAUUUGGAAUUGUUACUACAUAUCAUUUGGCUGUUUGUAGUGUUCGUGUUGCUGGAUAUAUUGUUGUCGGUGUCAACGUUUUAUGAAUUAUUGUUGGUCGGGCUUUUUUCUUUUCUUUUUCUUUUUAAGGAUUUUGUCUGUGCUUUUUCAAUUCAUAAAUCUUUGUUCCCUUUGGUAUCCUUUUGUAUUUUGAUUCUUUAGUGUUAAAUCGACUUUCCUGAGUUAGGUAGGCGGAAGAGGUUACCAUAAAACAUACAUUGUCUUUGUACAUUUAAAAUGUUGACUCAGCAAACAUUUAAUAGCCAAAAGGUGCAACUACAUUUUUUGUACUACAGAUUUGCAUCAAUGUGAAUGAAUGGGUCUUAACAUUUCACAGAAGAUGAAAGGAAGUGUAAUCCUACGCAAAUAAAUAGGUCAAGUUAUAACAUGAAAUUUU
rnacentral:lncRNA from 1 species